rnacentral:rRNA from 1 species
AACGAACGCUGGCGGCAUGCCUAACACAUGCAAGUCGAACGAGACCUUCGGGUCUAGUGGCGCACGGGUGCGUAACGCGUGGGAACCUGCCCUUAGGGUCGGCAUAACUCCCCGACAGGGGUGCUAAUACCGGAUAAUGUCUUCGGCCCAAAGAUUUAUCGCCUUUGGAUGGGCCCGCGUUGGAUUAGCUAGUUGGUAGGGUAAAAGCCUACCAAGGCGACGAUCCAUAGCUGGUCUGAGAGGAUGCUCAGCCACACUGGGACUGAGACACGGCCCAGACUCCUACGGGAGGCAGCAGUGGGGAAUAUUGGACAAUGGGCGAAAGCCUGAUCCAGCAAUGCCGCGUGAGUGAUGUAGGUCUUAGGGUUGUAAAGCUCUUUUACCCGGGAUGAUAAUGACAGUACCGGGAGAAUAAGCUCCGGCUAACUCCGUG